UUAAGCRACUAAGCGUACACGGUGGAUGCCCUGGCAGUCAGAGGCGAUGAAGGACGUGCUAAUCUGCGAUAAGCGUCGGUAAGGUGAUAUGAACCGUUAUAACCGGCGAUUUCCGAAUGGGGAAACCCAGUGUGUUUCGACACACUAUCAUUAACUGAAUCCAUAGGUUAAUGAGGCGAACCGGGGGAACUGAAACAUCUAAGUACCCCGAGGAAAAGAAAUCAACCGAGAUUCCCCCAGUAGCGGCGAGCGAACGGGGAGSAGCCCAGAGYCUGAAUCAGUGUGUGUGUUAGUGGAAGCGUCUGGAAAGGCGCGCGAUACAGGGUGACAGCCCCGUACACAAAAAUGCACAUGCUGUGAGCUCGAUGAGUAGGGCGGGACACGUGGUAUCCUGUCUGAAUAUGGGGGGACCAUCCUCCAAGGCUAAAUACUCCUGACUGACCGAUAGUGAACCAGUACCGUGAGGGAAAGGCGAAAAGAACCCCGGCGAGGGGAGUGAAAAAGAACCUGAAACCGUGUACGUACAAGCAGUGGGAGCACGCUUAGGCGUGUGACUGCGUACCUUUUGUAUAAUGGGUCAGCGACUUAUAUUCUGUAGCAAGGUUAACCGAAUAGGGGAGCCGAAGGGAAACCGAGUCUUAACUGGGCGUUAAGUUGCAGGGUAUAGACCCGAAACCCGGUGAUCUAGCCAUGGGCAGGUUGAAGGUUGGGUAACACUAACUGGAGGACCGAACCGACUAAUGUUGAAAAAUUAGCGGAUGACUUGUGGCUGGGGGUGAAAGGCCAAUCAAACCGGGAGAUAGCUGGUUCUCCCCGAAAGCUAUUUAGGUAGCGCCUCGUGAAUUCAUCUCCGGGGGUAGAGCACUGUUUCGGCAAGGGGGUCAUCCCGACUUACCAACCCGAUGCAAACUGCGAAUACCGGAGAAUGUUAUCACGGGAGACACACGGCGGGUGCUAACGUCCGUCGUGAAGAGGGAAACAACCCAGACCGCCAGCUAAGGUCCCAAAGUCAUGGUUAAGUGGGAAACGAUGUGGGAAGGCCCAGACAGCCAGGAUGUUGGCUUAGAAGCAGCCAUCAUUUAAAGAAAGCGUAAUAGCUCACUGGUCGAGUCGGCCUGCGCGGAAGAUGUAACGGGGCUAAACCAUGCACCGAAGCUGCGGCAGCGACRCUGUGUGUUGUUGGGUAGGGGAGCGUUCUGUAAGCCUGUGAAGGUGUACUGUGAGGUAUGCUGGAGGUAUCAGAAGUGCGAAUGCUGACAUAAGUAACGAUAAAGCGGGUGAAAAGCCCGCUCGCCGGAAGACCAAGGGUUCCUGUCCAACGUUAAUCGGGGCAGGGUGAGUCGACCCCUAAGGCGAGGCCGAAAGGCGUAGUCGAUGGGAAACAGGUUAAUAUUCCUGUACUUGGUGUUACUGCGAAGGGGGGACGGAGAAGGCUAUGUUGGCCGGGCGACGGUUGUCCCGGUUUAAGCGUGUAGGCUGGUUUUCCAGGCAAAUCCGGAAAAUCAAGGCUGAGGCGUGAUGACGAGGCACUACGGUGCUGAAGCAACAAAUGCCCUGCUUCCAGGAAAAGCCUCUAAGCAUCAGGUAACAUCAAAUCGUACCCCAAACCGACACAGGUGGUCAGGUAGAGAAUACCAAGGCGCUUGAGAGAACUCGGGUGAAGGAACUAGGCAAAAUGGUGCCGUAACUUCGGGAGAAGGCACGCUGAUAURUAGGUGAAGUCCCUCGCGGAUGGAGCUGAAAUCAGUCGAAGAUACCAGCUGGCUGCAACUGUUUAUUAAAAACACAGCACUGUGCAAACACGAAAGUGGACGUAUACGGUGUGACGCCUGCCCGGUGCCGGAAGGUUAAUUGAUGGGGUUAGCCGCAAGGCGAAGCUCUUGAUCGAAGCCCCGGUAAACGGCGGCCGUAACUAUAACGGUCCUAAGGUAGCGAAAUUCCUUGUCGGGUAAGUUCCGACCUGCACGAAUGGCGUAAUGAUGGCCAGGCUGUCUCCACCCGAGACUCAGUGAAAUUGAACUCGCUGUGAAGAUGCAGUGUACCCGCGGCAAGACGGAAAGACCCCGUGAACCUUUACUAUAGCUUGACACUGAACAUUGAGCCUUGAUGUGUAGGAUAGGUGGGAGGCUUUGAAGUGUGGACGCCAGUCUGCAUGGAGCCGACCUUGAAAUACCACCCUUUAAUGUUUGAUGUUCUAACGUUGACCCGUAAUCCGGGUUGCGGACAGUGUCUGGUGGGUAGUUUGACUGGGGCGGUCUCCUCCUAAAGAGUAACGGAGGAGCACGAAGGUUGGCUAAUCCUGGUCGGACAUCAGGAGGUUAGUGCAAUGGCAUAAGCCAGCUUGACUGCGAGCGUGACGGCGCGAGCAGGUGCGAAAGCAGGUCAUAGUGAUCCGGUGGUUCUGAAUGGAAGGGCCAUCGCUCAACGGAUAAAAGGUACUCCGGGGAUAACAGGCUGAUACCGCCCAAGAGUUCAUAUCGACGGCGGUGUUUGGCACCUCGAUGUCGGCUCAUCACAUCCUGGGGCUGAAGUAGGUCCCAAGGGUAUGGCUGUUCGCCAUUUAAAGUGGUACGCGAGCUGGGUUUAGAACGUCGUGAGACAGUUCGGUCCCUAUCUGCCGUGGGCGCUGGAGAACUGAGGGGGGCUGCUCCUAGUACGAGAGGACCGGAGUGGACGCAUCACUGGUGUUCGGGUUGUCAUGCCAAUGGCACUGCCCGGUAGCUAAAUGCGGAAGAGAUAAGUGCUGAAAGCAUCUAAGCACGAAACUUGCCCCGAGAUGAGUUCUCCCUGACCUUAACCUUACAACGCCGAAGAUGUUUUGGCGGAUUGAGAGAAUUUCAGCUUUGAUUCAGAGUCCGAAGGAUUUUGCGCUGAGACAAGGCGGCAAAUGAAGCGAAGGAAGGAGCAU
rnacentral:rRNA from 1 species